GUGCUCACUUUGGCAGCACAGAUACUUAAACUGGAACAGUGCAGAGAUUAGCAGGGCCCCUGUGCAAGGAUGACACAAAUUCGUGAGCCGCUUUUCCUUUUUCU
rnacentral:snRNA from 1 species